ACCCUUUAAUGUUUGAUGUUCUAACGUGGACCCGUGAUCCGGGUUGCGGACAGUGUCUGGUGGGUAGUUUGACUGGGGCGGUCUCCUCCUAAAGAGUAACGGAGGAGCACGAAGGUUGGCUAAUCCUGGUCGGACAUCAGGAGGUUAGUGCAAUGGCAUAAGCCAGCUUGACUGCGAGCGUGACGGCGCGAGCAGGUGCGAAAGCAGGUCAUAGUGAUCCGGUGGUUCUGAAUGGAAGGGCCAUCGCUCAACGGAUAAAAGGUACUCCGGGGAUAACAGGCUGAUACCGCCCAAGAGUUCAUAUCGACGGCGGUGUUUGGCACCUCGAUGUCGGCUCAUCACAUCCUGGGGCUGAAGUAGGUCCCAAGGGUAUGGCUGUUCGCCAUUUAAAGUGGUACGCGAGCUGGGUUUAGAACGUCGUGAGACAGUUCGGUCCCUAUCUGCCGUGGGCGCUGGAGAACUGAGGGGGGCUGCUCCUAGUACGAGAGGACCGGAGUGGACGCAUCACUGGUGUUCGGGUUGUCAUGCCAAUGGCACUGCCCGGUAGCUAAAUGCGGAAGAGAUAAGUGCUGAAAGCAUCUAAGCACGAAACUUGCCCCGAGAUGAGUUCUCCCUGAGACUUUAGGUCUCCUGAAGGAACGUUGAAGACGACGACGUUGAUAGGCCGGGUGUGUAAGCGCAGCGAUGCGUUGAGCUAACCGGUACUAAUGAACCGUGAGGCUUAACCUUACAACGCCGAA
rnacentral:rRNA from 3 species